AAAAAUAGAUGAUUGAGAAGAGAGCUCAUAUUCUAUGGGUGUAUAUGAGUCUAUCAUGCCCAGUAAUAGAGCAGAUCAGAAUUUUAAUCUUGUUUUUUUAUAAUCAUCGCUCUCUUCUCCCAUCAAAUUUUGGCAAAUACAAUAACGU
rnacentral:sRNA from 1 species